rnacentral:lncRNA from 1 species
UGCCAGAAGAGCGGGGCGCGGGCCUCGGACACCCGGGCACAGCCGAGCAGACAAAGGACGCGCCCGGUGCGGCAGAUGCCGGCACAAGUCGACUCUUCUAGUGGUCUGCGAAUGCAACCUGGGGCGGGGAAUCCGCUCUCUGGAGUGUCCCCGCCUUCCUGAACAAUGGGUCGCCCGCGCGGCACCCGCACAAGGGCUCUUGGGGCCCGGGGUUGGGCUGUUGAGGCUGCAGCCCCAGGAUGGGCGAGGAAGGCAGCGGCAAGAAUGUAGAGCUCAGCAUUCCCCGUGCUGUCCAGGGGAGCUUGGCCCAGAGAGGUCUGCGCUGUCCUUCCAUUUCAGAGAUGAGGAAACUGAGGCCCUUGCUCUGAGAGCCUCCCUGACACAAGACCCAUGUCCUCCCCAGGCACUUGCUGUGGGCCAGGUGGACGCGAGAUCUGGAGAGCCGUCAGGAGCAGAAGGUGCAAGCUUGUGGCGUGGGGCUGUUUCUCAGUCCCCAGCAGGAGCAAUACAAUGUGAGCCUUGGUCCCUGCUGAUUAAAUUGAAGAGAUCCUGCGGUGCCCACAGGAAGAACUUGUGUCUUCAGAGUCAGACUGAGUCAUGACCUUAGAGGUCCCCUCUCUGAGGCUGUUUCCCCUCUGACCCUCAGCUUCCUCAUUUAUAAAAUGGGGCCAAUAAAUCUUUUCUCACUUAUUUGAGCUAAGGAUGCAAGAGAACAUUUUUACAGAGCCUGACACCCAGACAGUGCUCAGUCCAUGUAGGCUUAUGUUUCAGUAAUAUCAUUGCUAACUUUGAGCCUUGUUGGCUGAAGGAGCAAAGCAGAAACCUCUGUCUCAUAACCUCCCCAUCAGGUGAUAUGCCCCAACACUUGCCCUCCUAGAUAUUUCCAAAUGAUACCUAAAAUUGCUGGCCUGGCCCUGAGCUGCGCUGUAUCAGAGAUUCUCUGGCAGUUGGGGAGAAAAGCUGAUGCAGCUUCUUUGCCAGAAGAAGCACAGUAAAGGACUAGAAGUUUUCCAGGCCAGCCCUGCCUCAGGUAAGAAUCACCCACAAUGAGCUUCUCAGGUGGGAUAAUUAACCCGGAAUAUAUAGAGAAAAUAUUGAGCUUUUUGGAAGAUAACUUGAAUGUACUAUUGUUGAUUCAACAUUUACUUCUUGAAUUGAUUGCUCUUUUCUCUAAAC